UCUGCAUCUAGAUUUACCUCGUUCUCUUUUGUCUCCGCUUUUUUUUCACAUUUCCUUGCGACCCUGGCCCUUGAGCGACAAAAAGGGGAAGCCAAGGCUGGCCCGAGGAACGGAGAGGGCACAUGGCCUAGCCACAAGUGGAGCUUCUGCUCCGCCCGAAGGGAUGCGCUGGAGCGGCCUCUUCCUUCUGCCACGGUCUUUCUUUGCCAACUAGUAGGUGGAGACUGGACCUCAGAAGAGGGAGUGGGUGCCCCGAGAACUCACAGCUAGCGGACAGUGGAAAGGGCAGGAGCCGGACCAAGGUGAGGACAGUGGAACUGAAGGCCGCUGGUUACCUCUCCUGCCCUCCGCUGGCCACAGUGGAGAAGACAGCCCCUCCCUCCUGCUCUGACCUGACAGUGUUCAUCCAUCGCCCUGUAUUAGCGAAGAACAACAUCAAGCUGGCUAGCAAGGAACUGUAUACAGGGUCCAGCUGGGUAUCACACUGGAUCUCACCCAAAGCUUAGAUGUGAUCCAGCUCAGUAUCACAAAGCAGAACGAAAAGGAUGUGUUUGGGCUGAGAGGCCAUACAUUGGUAAGUGGCACAUGAACUGUAUUUUCUAUUGAGCAUUGCUGGUAUAUGGCAAAUUUGCAUAAAAUUAUAUUGAAAUUGAC
rnacentral:lncRNA from 1 species